GUGAAGAACUCUGGAAUGAGUCUUUGCCAAAAAGACGUUUGCGUUAUGCUCGUAGGCGUCGCCCAAGGAUGAGGCCGCGACCGAUCAGGUUGUUGGUGAGGUAAUGGCUCACCAAGCCUUUUACCGGUGCGGGCCGUGAGAGCGGGAGCCCGGAGAUGGGCACUGAGACAAGGGCCCAGGCCCUACGGGGCGCAGCAGUCGCGAAAACUUUGCAAUACACGAAAGUGUGACAGGGCUAUCCCGAGUGCCAUCCGCUGAGGAAGGCUUUUACCCAGUCUAGAACGCUGGGGGAAUAAGGAGAGGGCAAGUCUGGUGUCAGCCGCCGCGGUAAUACCAGCUCUCCGAGUGGUGUGGAUGUUUAUUGGGCCUAAAGCAUCCGUAGCUGGCUGAGUUAGUCCCUUGUUAAAUCCACCGAAUUAAUCGUUGGAUUGCGGGGGAUACUGCUCGGCUAGGGGACGAGAGAGGCAGACGGUAUUUCCGGGGUAGGGGUGAAAUCCUAUAAUCCCGGGAAGACCACCAGUGGCGAAGGCUGUCUGCUAGAACGCGCCCGACGGUGAGGGAUGAAAGCUGGGGGAGCGAACCGGAUUAGAUACCCGGGUAGUCCCAGCUGUAAACGAUGCAGGCUAGGUGUUUGGACGGCCACGUGCCGUUCUAGUGCCGCAGGGAAGCUGUUAAGCCUGCCGCCUGGGGAGUACGAUCGCAAGAUUGAAAC
rnacentral:rRNA from 1 species